AAUAUUGCGCAAUGGGGGGAACCCUGACGCAGCGACGUCGCGUGGGCGAAGAAGGUCUUCGGAUCGUACAGCUCUGUCUUUGGGGACGAAAGAAAUGACGGUACCCAAUGAGGAAGCCCCGGCUAACUACGUGCCAGCAGCCGCGGUAACACGUAGGGGGCAAGCGUUGUCCGGAAUUAUUGGGCGUAAAGCGCGCGCAGGCGGUCUCUUAAGUCUGAUGUGAAAGCCCACGGCUCAACCGUGGAGGGUCAUUGGAAACUGGGGGACUUGAGUGUAGGAGAGGAAAGUGGAAUUCCACGUGUAGCGGUGAAAUGCGUAGAGAUGUGGAGGAACACCAGUGGCGAGGGCGACUUUCUGGCCUACAACUGACGCUGAGGCGCGAAAGCGUGGGGAGCAAACA
rnacentral:rRNA from 1 species